GUACUCAUAUUGACAGCACAUAUACUAAAAUUGGAACAAGGAGAAGAUUAGCAUUACCCCUGCCCAAGGAUGACAUGUAAAUUCAUGAAACCUUCCAUAUUUUC